rnacentral:rRNA from 1 species
ACCAAACAGCUAGCUUUACUCCUAAAAUCGAACUGUCAACAUUUAUAGAUUUUAAUAAACACAACUAAAAUGAAAUUAAACCAUUCUCCUGCCUUAGUACGGGCGACGAAAAAGGCAUCCACCCAAAGCAAUAGAAAAAGUACCGCAAGGGAAAGCUGAAAAAGAAAUGAAAUAAUCCAUUUAAGUAAAACAAAGCAGAGAUUUAACCUCGUACCUUUUGCAUCAUGAUUUAGCUAGUAUUUUUGAGCAAAGAGAGCUUUAGUUCAAGCCCCCGAAACCAAGUGAGCUACCUCGAGACAGCCUUUAAUUAGGGCUAACCCGUCUCUGUGGCAAAAGAGUGGGAAGAGCUCCAGGUAGCGGUGACAGACCUACCGAACUUGGUAAUAGCUGGUUGCCUAGGAAGUGGAUACAAGUUCAGCCUCAUGGUCCUCAGCCCAACAAAAACUUAUUUACCAAAGGAUGCGAGAAACACAUGAGAGUUAGUCAAAAGAGGUACAGCUCUUUUGAACAAGGACACAACCUUACAAGGAGGUAAAGGAUCAUAAUUCACAAGAUUCCUGCUCAAGUGGGCCUAAAAGCAGCCAUCUUGGUAGAAAGCGUUACAGCUCAGGCAGACCCCAAUCUAUUAUCCUUAUAACCCAUCCGAAACCCCUAAACCUACUAGGCCUUUCCAUGCCAACAUGGAAGCGAUUCUGCUAAAAUUAGUAAUAAGAAAGCAACCCUUUCUCCCAGUCCCAGUGUAAGUUAGAUCGGACCUUCCACUAAUAAAUAACGAACCCAACCAAAGAGGGCAACGUAGCCUACAAAGACUACAAGAAAAACCUACGUACAUUAAUCGUUAACCCCACACAGGAGGACUAAACAGGAAAGACUCAAUAAAGAGGAAGGAACUCGGCAAACACAAGCCUCGCCUGUUUACCAAAAACAUCGCCUCCCGCAAAGCUCAACGUAUAGGAGGUCUUGCCUGCCCAGUGAACUAGUUUAAACGGCCGCGGUAUCUUGACCGUGCAAAGGUAGCGCAAUCACUUGUCUUUUAAAUGAAGACCUGUAUGAAUGGUGGAACGAGGGCUUAACUGUCUCCCCCUUUAGGUCAAUGAAAUUGAUCUGCCCGUGCAGAAGCGGACAUAAGCAUACAAGACGAGAAGACCCUUUGGAGCUUAAGACACCAAGACCAACUAUGUCAAUAACCUGUCGCAACACAGAUUAAACCUAAUAGUCCCUGGUCCUAGUCUUCGGUUGGGGCGACCGCGGGGGAAAACAAAGCCCCCACGUGGAAUGAGGUAACCCCUCAAAACCAAGAAGAACACUUCUAAGGCACAGAACAUCUGACCGCAACAGACCCGGCUUAAUAGCCGAUCAACGAACCAAGUUACCCUAGGGAUAACAGCGCAAUCCCCUCCCAGAGUCCCUAUCGACAAGGGGGUUUACGACCUCGAUGUUGGAUCAGGACAUCCUAAUGGUGCAGCCGCUAUUAAGGGUUCGUUUGUUCAACGAUUAAAGUCCUACGUGAUCUGAGUUCAGACCGGAGCAA